rnacentral:rRNA from 1 species
UACGGAGGGUGCAAGCGUUAAUCGGAAUUAUUGGGCGUAAAGAGCUCGUAGGCGGUUUGUCGCGUCUGCUGUGAAAACCCGCGGCUCAACCUCGGGCCUGCAGUGGGUACGGGCAGACUAGAGUGCGGUAGGGGAGAUUGGAAUUCCUGGUGUAGCGGUGGAAUGCGCAGAUAUCAGGAGGAACACCAAUGGCGAAGGCAGAUCUCUGGGCCGUAACUGACGCUGAGGAGCGAAAGCAUGGGGAGCGAACAGG